CGCGCGGCUGCGCGCGCCGGCGCCCUGGCCCCCACCCACCGCCGGGCGGCUGCGCACGGGCCGGCGCCCUCGCCCCCACCCACCAUCGCGCGCCUCCACGUAGCCUCCAUCCCCAGUUCCCCACCGGGGCUCAGAUCGAUUUGUUUUCCUUUUCCAUUUUGGGCGGCGGCCGAGGUGAUCUGAUUCGGUUGCGCAGCAAAAGGUUAACUGAUGCCGAUGCGUGUUUUGCUGAAUUUUUUUGGGGGGAAAGCUUCAUGUGGGUCAGCUAAGUUUUGUGGCCAUCCUAUUUGUGACAAUAAGGCCAUUCUCAAAGAGCUUCUAUCGGCGGAUCAACAGAUUCCUGGCAGAGCUGCUGUGGCCUCAGCUGGUUUGGGUUGUGGACUGGUGGGCAGGCGUCAAGGUAAAGAGCAUGCACUCAUCAUAUCAAAUCAUUGGAGCGAUGUCGAUUGGCUUAUUUGAUGGAUAUUGGCACAGGUUUGUGUUCAGCGCUCAGGAUGCCUUGGAAGUAAACUUGCUGUGAUGAAGUCAUCAAGGUUCCUUGCAAUUGAUCCCUGAAUUGAAGACUCUACAAGUCCAAAUUAAACAAAAACAUUAUUGCUGAUAUCUGGAAGUCACUUGGUCAGGUACAAAAAUACAACAGAAUGGUGAAUGGAGCGCCGGUGAUCUUCAUCAAGGUGAAGUUUAGUUAACCUUUUCGCCAAGUUAACUUUAGUUUUAUUAGCUGCGUUAUGUACACAGAGAGUUAGAAUUUAUAGUAAUCUUCAUAUUAAGUUCCCUUCAAUAAUAUAUAUGUAGUACAGUUCUCAUUUUAGUGGACAUGCAUAUGGAACAACAAUUGGAUCUGAUGGAUGGCUUGUAAUUUUUAUGUAUAAGUAAUUUCAAUGGACAUGUAUAUGGAACUACAAUCAGAUCUGAUGGAGCUGAGAAAUUGUGCAUGGACAAAUUAUAUUUUUUUUACCUAUGUUAUUUGGUUUCCUGACGGUUUUUUGCUAUAAAAACCGUCGGGAAUUCAUUUAGGAGGUGUCAUCAGGCUGGCCGUCAGGAACUGCCGUCAGGAAAUGAUUCCUGUCGGCCAACCGUCAGGAAAUGUCAUUUUUCCUGACCACCGUCUCCUGUCAGCAAAUUCCUGUCGGUAAGCCGACAGGAGUCUUAUUCCUGACGGUUUUCGGAUGAAUCCUGACGGUUUUUGGCCGUCAGGAAACAAGCUCAGCCUGAUGUGAAAGGAAAAAAAUAUUGAUAUUGAUCUGGUAAAACCAAGCUUCUGCUUCUGACUGUGAUACUUAAAUAUGGUGAGUCAAACGUUCCUUAUUAUGUUGCAAGCACCAUUGAACAUAGGGUCAGUUGGAUCCAUGCCACUACAAUUUCACGAAGUUGGAUUUCAUUGCGAUGGGAGGCCUCAAUUGUGCUUUUAGCGUGCUUGGCAACCACAUCGAUCAGCAGUGGGUGGGAUGACUGGACUUGGUUUGGUAGAAGUGGCAGGGGCUAGCUACCAUUGUCGAUGACAGGAAAAGCAAAGUUCUUAGUGGCACCUCUCUCAGCACUGACCAGAUAGAUGCUGUUCCUGAUGCCUCUUUUUCCCGCCUCAGUGGUCAGCCCAUUGCUUGGCUUGCCCAUUUCAGUUUAUGUAUUGCCCUAUUUCUAUGUCGCUCCCUUACUCGGAAUGGACUGUAUACUUGUAUAGAAGCAAGGCAGCUGGGGAACAUGCUCUUAUACUACUAUCUUCGCUGCAUGUCGCACAUCAACAUUAGUUCAUGUUCUACGGUCAUUGGCAAAGAGCACAUGGAGGAGCUAGUUCUUGGUAUGGGCGCGACAGGGCAGGGAUGAAUGCCUGAUGAGCGGCAUGGGAGAUGGAGACAUUAUUAGAUGGUGCACGUAGAAAAUAAAUCCUUCGAACACUAAGUGUUUUCUAUAGACAUCCUGCAAUCGAUUGUUUUAGUCAAUUCAUCAUGAUCCUAUGGUAGCUGACGUAUCCUCUUCACAUAUUGACCCGCAGCUUCUUCUUCAUGAGCCAUCCUCUUGAGCACGCCUCAUUACCAGAGGCUGCUAGCUAGCUAUACAAUCAACGACGGGAUGCAGUUCCAGAUGCCCCCCAUUCCUACUAUUCUGUAUAUGUAUGGAGCAUCCAAGUCCCAUGUCAUUGUGGUUUCUGUUCGGCUCCAGCUUUUUUUUUUCACACGACUUGGUUCUUGACAUUUGUUUUGUGGCUGAAUUGGACAAUGAACAGAUAUGGGAAGACUAGAAUAUAUAGCAACAUUUAUUGGCUGGAUGUUGGCAGUACAUAUGUGGGCCAUGCUGUGUUAAGCAGAGUAAGAAGCUAUGGCAGACGAGACUAGCUACACUGAUCGUCUGGGUACCUCAACAAGGCAAGAUUGUGAGAGCAACACAUAGAAUUGUUGGCAUGUUACUACAAAUACAGGAGUAUUAAACUUUUGUCCAUUACUAU